GCAGUCGAACGAUGAAGCCCUUCGGGGUGGAUUAGUGGCGAACGGGUGAGUAACACGUGGGCAAUCUGCCCUUCACUCUGGGACAAGCCCUGGAAACGGGGUCUAAUACCGGAUAAUACUCCUGCCUGCAUGGGUGGGGGUUGAAAGCUCCGGCGGUGAAGGAUGAGCCCGCGGCCUAUCAGCUUGUUGGUGGGGUAAUGGCCCACCAAGGCGACGACGGGUAGCCGGCCUGAGAGGGCGACCGGCCACACUGGGACUGAGACACGGCCCAGACUCCUACGGGAGGCAGCAGUGGGGAAUAUUGCACAAUGGGCGAAAGCCUGAUGCAGCGACGCCGCGUGAGGGAUGACGGCCUUCGGGUUGUAAACCUCUUUCAGCAGGGAAGAAGCGAAAGUGACGGUACCUGCAGAAGAAGCGCCGGCUAACUACGUGCCAGCAGCCGCGGUAAUACGUAGGGCGCAAGCGUUGUCCGGAAUUAUUGGGCGUAAAGAGCUCGUAGGCGGCUUGUCACGUCGGAUGUGAAAGCCCGAGGCUUAACCUCGGGUCUGCAUUCGAUACGGGCUAGCUAGAGUGUGGUAGGGGAGAUCGGAAUUCCUGGUGUAGCGGUGAAAUGCGCAGAUAUC
rnacentral:rRNA from 1 species